rnacentral:rRNA from 1 species
UACGUAGGGUGCGAGCGUUAAUCGGAAUUACUGGGCGUAAAGCGUGCGCAGGCGGUUCGUUGUGUCGGUGGUGAAAUCCCCGGGCUUAACCUGGGAAUGGCCAUGGAAACUGGCGAACUGGAGUGCGGCAGAGGGGGGGUGGAAUUCCUGGUGUAGCGGUGAAAUGCGCAGAUAUCAGGAAGAACACCCGUGGCGAAGGCGGCUCUCUGGGACGGUACUGACGCUGAGACGCGAAAGCGUGGGGGAGCGAACAGGG